rnacentral:rRNA from 1 species
UAUUAUACCAAUAACUAUAGUUAACCUGAAUUAUUAAUAGAUAUUUUCUUUAAACUUGAAGAAUUUGGCGGUGAUUUAGUCUUGUUAGAGGAACCUGUUUAUGAAUCGAUAAACCACGCAAAAUCUUGCUCGAUUUUAUUUAGUUUAUAUACCGUCAUUAUCAGAUAAUUUUAAGAAAAUAAAUUAUUUAAGUUUUAAAAGAAUAUAAAAGGAAAUUAGAUCAAGGUGUAGCUAAUAAACGAGUUUAAAUGGGUUACAAUAAAUUUUAUUUAUUACGGAGUAAUUAUAAAGAAAAAUUUUAUGAAGGAGGAUUUAAUUGUAAUGUUAGUUUAAUAAGCUAAAAAGAUAUUAGCUCUAGAUCAU